rnacentral:rRNA from 1 species
UACGGAGGGGGCUAGCGUUGCUCGGAAUCACUGGGCGUAAAGCGCACGUAGGCGGAUCCUUAAGUCGGGGGUGAAAUCCUGGAGCUCAACUCCAGAACUGCCUUCGAUACUGAGGAUCUCGAGACCGGGAGAGGUGAGUGGAACUGCGAGUGUAGAGGUGAAAUUCGUAGAUAUUCGCAAGAACACCAGUGGCGAAGGCGGCUCACUGGCCCGGUACUGACGCUGAGGUGCGAAAGCGUGGGGAGCAAACAGG